rnacentral:rRNA from 1 species
UGGCGGCGUGCUUACACAUGCAAGUCGAGCGAGAAAUCGGGACAUGAAACUUCGGUAGAUUAGAACGAUGGAAAGCGGCGGACGGGUGAGUAACACGUGGGAAACCUGCCUUUUGCAGAGGGACAGCCGAGGGAAACUUCGAUUAAUACCUCAUAAUGCAUCACCACCGCAUGAUGGAGAUGCCAAAGAUUUAUCGGCAAGAGAUGGUCCCGCGUCUGAUUAGCUGGUUGGUGAGGUAGCGGCUCACCAAGGCGACGAUCAGUAGCCGGCCUGAGAGGGUGAACGGUCACAUUGGAACUGAGACACGGUCCAGACUCCUACGGGAGGCAGCAGUGGGGAAUAUUGCACAAUGGGCGCAAGCCUGAUGCAGCAACGCCGCGUGAAGGAUGAAGGCCUUCGGGUCGUAAACUUCUGCCCAAAGGGAAGAAGAACUGACGGUACCUUUGGAGGAAGCCCCGGCUAACUACGUGCCAGCAGCCGCGGUAAUACGUAGGGGGCAAGCGUUAUCCGGAAUUACUGGGCGUAAAGAGUGCGUANGUGGCACUGUAAGC